CGAUCAUGGACGCUGUAUUCUCGGAAUU
rnacentral:sRNA from 1 species